GACGAACGCUGGCGGCGUGCCUAAUACAUGCAAGUAGGACGCAGUUGCGACCGGUUGAGUAACGCGUAGGUAACUACCUAUACGAGGGGGAGAACUAUUGGAAACGAUAGCUAAUAACGCAUACUAGCAGAUGGACCUGCGUUGUAUUAGCUAGUAGGUAGGGUAAUGGCCUACCUAGGCAGCGAUACAUAGCCGGCCUGAGGAGGGUGUCGGCCCCGCUGGGGCGGGGACACGGCCACGAGUCCUACGGGAGGCAGCAGUAAGUAAUCUUCGGGGAUGGGGGGGGCCCUAACCGAGCAUCGCCGCGGAAGUUAAGCAGGUUUUCGUAUCGUAAAGCUCUGUUGUUAAGGAAGCGGUACUUAACCAGAAAGGGACGGCUAACUACGUGCCAGCCGCCGCGGUAAUAC
rnacentral:rRNA from 1 species